GUGGGUUACGGGGACAUGGCGCCCACCACCAUGGGUGGCAAGAUCGUGGGCUCCCUCUGCGCCAUUGCCGGCGUCCUCACGAUCUCCCUGCCCGUGCCCGUCAUUGUCUCCAAC
rfam:Sarcophilus harrisii ctg7180002180467, whole genome shotgun sequence.